UGUGGAGCUGCUCGGGAGGUCGAACCCGAAGGUACCUAGUGUGGCGCCAUGGCGCCAUCGAGGACGUCGGGAGAAACUGAGGCGCAGGGAGAAGGUUGGGCUUCCUGGAGUACAGAGCGAGGCGCCACUAACUGAGCGCCUACUGCGUGUUGCGCGCUUUGGUGCCCUGGGUUCAUUGACUUAAUGCUCACGAAGACGCGAGAACUCUAAGCCAGAACCUAAGAGGGCCAGAAGCUGGGAUCCAAGUCUACUUGUCCCACCCCCUCCACUGGAACUCCCUGGCCCCCAGCUCUGCACAGCUCCUGCCCUGCAGCCCUCGCCUGGCUGUGCUCCGGGAAGGCCUCGUGGGCACUUCACCCUGCUCUGCAGCCACACUCACACCCUGGAUCCAGGUCACACUAGGUAUGAUUUGCUUCUCCUGGCCUUUCCUCUCACCAGCCCCGCUAUCACCUCAUUUAGAAGGCAGGUAUGAUUUUCAUUUUCUAGGCUCAGAGAGUUUGCGCAGGGCCACACAGCUGGGUCCCCAAGCCUCUCUAUGUGAGGUCGUCUGGGCACAGGGCUUGGGGAACCCAAGACUGAGGCCAGUGACAGCAAGCUCUGGA
rnacentral:lncRNA from 1 species